UCUCUGUCAGUCAAGGGCAAGAAGGAUGGCAGGGGCUGUGGAGAGUCGCAGGAGGACAUGGGGCGCGUCUACACCGUGCAGUUUGACACCACUUGGGCCCCUUCCACACAGCUGGAAUAUAUGGCAGUGUGGACUCAGAUAAUCCAGUUCAAAGCUGGUGUUGUGGGAUUAUCUGCCUUGAUAUUCGGGGAUAUAGUGCUGUGUGGAAGGGCCCUUUAACUGUCAUGCUAUGGAAUCAUAGGAGACGUGUGGAAGGGGCCUAAUUUUACAAUAUAAAACAGGCAUAAAACAGUUUCAGGACUGGAGAUAAUUUUAUCUUGAAAAGAUUAUUUCUAAUCUAUGCAAUCCUCUCCUCCAACAUGACUUUUAACCUCCUUCCAAGCGGACAAUCAAGUUUGACACCUACUAUUUGCUUAUAGGAAGACAAAACGGCAAGUCACUUCUUUUUUCUGAAAGAUAAGAUGUUUAUGGGGCAGUUUAAGAUAUCUGUACCUUUUUGCAAUUCCAAAUCAAAAUAUAUUUACACAAUACUUUCUUCCACUAAGAGGAAAUUUUAGAAAAAAAGGGUAGGAAUGUGUUCACUGGUCAGAUCUUGGGGCAUUCCUCCGUGCCCCAUAAUCACUGUCGGCAUAAUCUCUUUGUUUAUGGAGACAAAUAAACCUUUAGCCUAA